AAGCAGAGGUCCAGAGUUUGCUCCCCAGAGCCCACAUUAAGAAGACAAACAGUAUGUGUGAUGGCGUGUGUCAUGAUGCCAGCACUUUGAUGGCAGACCGUUGGCUGGUCAGAGGGUUCUGCAGGGAGAGAUGAUUGUGGUCAAACUGGAAAACACAAGUUUACUUCCCAGAACCUUGGUGAUGGAAGGAGGUGACAGACAUGUGCAAGUUGUCCUCUGACUCCAUAUUUCUGUCCCGAAGCAUAGCAUGCAGUUUGCAUGUGCUUCUCUUGAAUUCUUUUCAAGCAAGGAACUGUGGCACCACAGCCUGCUGGGUUGAGAUCACAAAGGCAGUGGUAGAGACUUUCUGUUGAUUCUACCAGCAGUGGCCUGUCAAGACAUCCCAAUGAGAUGGAUUUGAACUCUGAUGCUGUCAGUCACCCAGUGCUAACUCAGUCCAACCUGACAAGCUCUUCAAAUGUAACCGUCAUCUACCAGCAAGGGGCUCACCCAGUGAGUAGGGAGAUAUCACAGCCACAGACACGAGAUCCUAGACAUUUCCAUCGCUGCUGUUCAUCUAAUCCAUGAUGCCAGAGUUCUUUGGCUUUAAUGUCAUGGCUUUCGAUAUCACUGACCCAAAGCUCGCUAAUAUCAAAAAUCAGCAUAUCGAACGUAUCCAUCUCAUCAUCCAGAAAUGUUUAAACAAAUGAGAGGGGGUGUGGUUUGAAGAUACCAAGGUUUGAAAGCAGAAGUGGGAAAGACCUGAGGGAUGAGAGGAACUAGGCAGGGGAGAAACGGGAGGGUUGUGACUCAUGUAUAUGCAAAUGCCACCAUGAAACCCAUUGUGUGUAUGCUGAGUGAAAAAUCAACUUACAGCAUGUUUUAAUAAGAAAAAGAAA